UACGUAGGGGUCGAGCGUUGUCCGGAUUCAUUGGGCGUAAAGAGCUCGUAGGCGGUUUGACAAGUCGGGUGUGAAAUCUCUGGGCUCAACUCAGAGAGGCCACUCGAUACUGCUAUGACUAGAGUCCGGUAGGGGACCAUGGAAUUCCUGGUGUAGCGGUGAAAUGCGCAGAUAUCAGGAGGAACAUCGAUGGCGAAGGCAAUCACCUGGGCCUGAACUGACACUGAGACACGAAAGCGUGGGUAGCAAACAGG
rnacentral:rRNA from 1 species